AACUCUGAGACAGGUGCUGCAUGGCUGUCGUCAGCUCGUGUUGUGAAAUGUUGGGUUAAGUCCCGCAACGAGCGCAACCCUUAUCCUUUGUUGCCAGCACGUAAUGGUGGGAACUCAAAGGAGACUGCCGGUGAUAAACCGGAGGAAGGUGGGGAUGACGUCAAGUCAUCAUGGCCCUUACGAGUAGGGCUACACACGUGCUACAAUGGCGCAUACAAAGAGAAGCGACCUCGCGAGAGCAAGCGGACCUCAUAAAGUGCGUCGUAGUCCGGAUUGGAGUCUGCAACUCGACUCCAUGAAGUCGGAAUCGCUAGUAAUCGUAAAUCAGAAUGUUACGGUGAAUACGUUCCCGGGCCUUGUACACACCGCCCGUCACACCAUGGGAGUGGGUUGCAAAAGAAGUAGAUAGCUUAACCUUCGGGAGGGCGUUUACCACUUUGUGAUUCAUGACUGGGGUGAAGUCGUAACAAGGUAGGCGUAGUGCU
rnacentral:rRNA from 1 species